CUGAUCUUUGUGCACUGGAACUGGACUCUUUUUUGAGUUUGUCUACAGUUCCUGAAUCUGUGUGCAGGUGUUGCCUCUUGGAAAUGGUUCUGGGACAUGGCCAGCUGUAGGCUGUCUUCGAGCUGCUCAGGUCUAGCCUUCAUGGAAGUUGUCAGAGUGAAGCUGACAUUGCCAAUUUGCAUAGAGCUGAUAGCUGUGGGCCCCUAAAACAGGUCAUUUGCAUACUUCACAAUUGAACAGAUUCAAGGAAUUGGCCAGAAAGAAAUGAUCCCUUCAGAGUGCUGAAAUUUGUCUAUGGUGCCAGCUCCAAAAUUCUGGAAGCCUUCAGAGACCUUGCACAGCAGCAUUUGGUAUGAGACACCUACUAAAACUUUUAUCUUGACUCCUGCUUUUCAUUUCCAUUAUCAUGUGAAAUAAAAGGAAGAGGGAAAAUCCAAGCAGUGAAUUCACUGGAAGGCACAGAAGACAUAAUGGCAAAAAGCUUUAUGAUGAAACCUUUUACAACUUUUUCAACUUCAACAAUUAAGAUGGAGAGCACUUGGUCUUCCUCAAAAGUAGAUAGAUUUAUUUUCCCUUUAUGCUACCCUUUGAUAUGAAAGAAGUCAUUUGGCUCCAGAGAGUAAAGAGAGAAGCAACAAGACUGUAGUACACUCAAUAAUCUUACACAUUAAGGAAAGUGUUCUUGGCCCAUACAGAACAGCAUUGUCCACUUUGCAUUUACAGCACUGCAGUGACAAUUGGCUGUAGAUUACUUUUGCUUGUGUUAUUCUUCUUAGGCAUUUGUUCAAUGCCAAAUGUCUGUGUUUAUAUGGGGAAGUUAGCAUGGCAUAAGGGAUUUUUUCUAAUGAACCUCACUGAGGGAAAACCAAAAAAAUGAAAAAACAAAACCAA